rnacentral:rRNA from 1 species
CCUGAGAAACCCAAAAGUUCGAAUGGAGAGAUUCAUCGUCAGCGAUCCUGGCAAUUGUGCGGUUCGCGAUGCCGGGGACUUCGGUCUCGCGGCACGCGUCCGUAUGAUUUAUUUGCCAGGUGUCGUCGUCGUGCACUUCUCCCCUAGUAGGACGUCGCGACCCGUUGGGUGUCGGUCUACGACCCGGGUGGGUGCCCGUCAUGUGUCACGCUUCACGGCGUCAUGUGGCAGACCCCCGGUUGUCUGACCAGCUGCCCGGCGGUACUCGCACGGUAUUGAGUCGCAAUUUGAACUGCGUCCGGCCCGCCGCAAGCGAGGCCAGUGUUUCCCGGAUGUACGGACUCAGCGCCGUCACCGGGCCUGGCCAGCUGUUGGUCGGCGGUGUCCUGGGACUGGCUCUAAAUAAAUACCGGUCGGCGACGCUACUGCUUUGGGUACUUUCAGGACCCGUCUUGAAACACGGACCAAGGAGUCUAACAUGUGCGCGAGUCAUUGGGAUCUGUUAAGCCUAAAGGCGCAAUGAAAGUGAAGGUAGGCCUUGCGCCAACCGAGGGAGGAUGGGCCGCGUCACGAUGCGGUCCCGCACUCCCGGGGCGUCUCGUUCUCAUUGCGAGAAGAGGCGCACCUAGAGCGUAC